rnacentral:rRNA from 1 species
GUACACGCUGUGACUAGCAUAUCAAUAAGCGGAGGAAAAGAAACUAACAAGGAUUCCCUCAGUAACGGCGAGUGAAGCGGGAAGAGCUCAAAUUUGAAAUCUUGAAAGGUCACCUUUCACGAAUUGUAGUUUAAAGAAGUGUUUUCUGUUACGAUCGUAAUAUAAGUUCUUUGGAAUAGGACAUCACAGAGGGUGAGAAUCCCGUCUAUGAUUGCGAUUUGUAGCUUUGUGAUACACUUUCAAAGAGUCGGGUUGUUUGGGAAUGCAGCCCAAAACGGGAGGUAAAUUUCUUCUAAGGCUAAAUAUUGGCGAGAGACCGAUAGCGAACAAGUACCGUGAGGGAAAGAUGAAAAGAACUUUGAAAAGAGAGUUAAACAGUACGUGAAAUUGUCAAAAGGGAAGCGUUUAACACCAGUGUUGUUUUCUGAAAAUCAACCUCUGUUAGCUUUAUGCAUGUUUGUUUAGACCUAAUCAGCUAUCUUUCAUGUUCUAUUGUUUGCAGUGGUGCACUUUUCAGUUUACAGGUCAACAUCAGUUUUUUUUACCGUAAAAAAGUUAAAGAAAGGUAGCUCAUGGCUCCGGUCGUGAGUGUUAUAGUCUUUUUCCUAUGCGGUAGGAGAGACUGAGGUCUGCAGUGUAGGCUAUUUGGCUAGAUACUCAGGUGCUAUGUGAUACCAUUUCAUAAACAACUUGUUGAUUAUGUUUUGUCUAUUGCAUACUCGCUUGUACUAUCAUACCUACGCUUAGGAUGUUGAGUAGCGACAUACGCAC